rnacentral:tRNA from 1 species
GCCUGGGUGGCUCAGUUGGUUGAGCCUCUGACUCUUGAUUUGGCCUCAGGUCACGAUCCCAGAGUCGUGGGAUCGAACCCCACAUCGGGCU